CCAGGGUGAGGUUUCCCAGGGAGGAGCCUUGGGGAAAGCGAGUUGGUAAAUCAAGAAGCCAGCCUCUGCUUUGGCAGCAUCUAGACUCUGCAGGAGCCGCAAAGCACGGAGGAAAGCUAGGAGCAGCCCUCAAGAGGAUGGAAGUGAUUAUGCAGGCCUCUUAGACUUGGACCAGAAAAAGCACGAAGGCAAAAGGUGAUCUAGAGGUCUCCCACCACAGAGGCUACUCAACUACACCGAGAGAAGAGAAGAGAGGGACACAAGCCUGAGGACAGGCCCUGUUCCUGCCACAGAUUCAUCGCCAUGCUUGGUUCCAUGGGCCGUGUUCCUCAGUGAGUGAGGUGGGUUGCUGUUAGGAGAAGGACCCCAGGCUCAGUGGCAUUCGGCACUGGGAGAGUGGUAGCAUGGGCACUCUCUCUGCUCUGGGGUCAGGUGCAGGAGGUUUCCUUCUUUCAGUCUCUGAUGUGUGCAGUUAAGUGUGAAGACUGGAGGUCUAGUUCAGGCCUCACACAUUUUGCUUACCUGAGCAGCUCUGCCACACAUCAUUGGGCAGACCUGUGUGCACCUGGCUGGAGAUAGAGAGGUGAACUAAACAGUUUUGUGUUGCAGAAGUUCUCAGGAUCUGAUGAAGCAAAGAUAAAGCAGUGCCCCCAAUACUGGAAUGGUUGACCACAGGCUCCACUUUGGUGUGUCCCCCCAAAUAAGUGUGCUGGAAAAUUUGUUCCUUAAACCACACUGUUAGGAGAUGGGACCUAUCGUGAGGUUUUUGAGUCAGGGAGAUGGACCCCUUAACUCAUAGAUUAAUGCCCGUCUUGGCUGAGUGACUGCUUGCUUUUGGAGAACUUGUUUCACUAUGGUAAGGUAGGUUGUUACAAAGCAUAUUUUCCCCUGCUGCUCUCUCUUACACAUCAAAGCAAAUCCCUUCAGUGAGCCUCCAUGGGAUGAUAGAGCACCCAGGCCAUCGUCACAAGCUAAACAUGAUAGAGCCAUCUUCUUGGGCUUCCAUAACUGUGAGGCCGUGCAACCUCAGGUAUUCCGCUACAGCAGCAAACGGUGCACAGAGACACUAUCUGCAGGCCUCCUUCACCUGUUUAUAUGCUGAUCAUCGGACUGACUCCUCUGUGAUCUGCCUUCUCCCUACAUCAACCUGUUCAGCACAGGUCAGUAGCAUGUGUACCCCAGCAGCUGCUUCCUCCUUUCCUUCCUUCAGUCAUGAGGACUUUAAGAGCCCUGGGGUAGAUGUUUAUACUUCUGAUUUUGGAUGUUCCUUCUGCAUUUCUAUGAAUAAGUGCUCGCGUGUGCACAC